rnacentral:lncRNA from 1 species
UUAAAACAAAAAACAUUUAUUAUAUCACACUUUCUGUGGGUCAGGAAUCUGGGAGGGACUUAGCUGGGUGGUUCUGCUCAGUUCUCUUGGGAUGUUUCAGUCAAGCAGUGGCCUGGGGCUGCACUCUUAUCUGAAGACUCAAUUGGGAGAAAAUAUGCAUUCAAGGUCACUCGUUGGUUGUUGGCAGGCUGUAGUUCCUCACUGAAUAUUGGUUGAAGACUUCAUUGGCUUACUACCUGGACUUCUCCACACACUGCCUGAAUGUCCUCCCCACAUAGCUAGAGUGAAUGAACUAAAAAAGAGAGAGAACACACACAGCCCAGCCCCAGCAGACCACAGGAGGUUGGCCCCAGACUCAAUGAGUGCCUGCAGCAGCCGUACAGACACAGCAUCCUUGGCCACCUCAUGCCCAUCCCGGCCAUCUAGGAUCAGCACAACCCAGAUGAGGCCGCUGAAGGGCACCGGAUGCCCAGGAAUCACCACCUGGUACCAGAAGCGGUGCCAGCCAGCAGGUCCUAUGCCCAAACACUUGGUGAGGAACACA